AAGAAGAAGAUGGAGUAGUCAGGUGAAGUCGAAGCGCAUGAGGAGCUUGACGGAGCGGAGGGGCUCGCCGCGGUGGUCGCAGAGCCUGACGGAGCGGAUGCCUCGCCGGAGCUCCCACACCGGCAGGCAGGUCUGCCCGCCGAAGUCGUCCUUCUGGUGGUUGUCGGACUCGUGCACCUCCACCCGGAGCAGCGCCAGCUCCGGCACGCUCAACGGGAACUCGAACUCGUGAUCCCAUGCCGGAAUCCACGUGUCCAUCUUCACCUUCGUCUGCUCCAUCCUCGUGUCUGCUUCUACUCCGGCUAUACCCACCUGCAGUAGUUUUCAGUUUUUCUUUUCUUGUCAGCCAUUUGCCAUGUCUGAAGUCUGAACUGAACAUUCAGAUACAUGAGAUUGAUCAGAAUGCUAACCCUUGCAUAGAAGUCUGGGGGUGAGCAUUUGUCGAAAUGUGUCUUGCGGAAGUCGAAUCGCCAUCCGUCUCCCAUGUACACCGUCACCUUCAGAU
rnacentral:sRNA from 1 species